rnacentral:rRNA from 1 species
UACAGAGGUCUCAAGCGUUGUUCGGAUUUAUUGGGCGUAAAGAGCGUGUAGGCGGCCAUGUAGGUCCGUUGUGAAAACUCGAGGCUCAACCUCGAGACGCCGAUGGAAACCAUGUGGCUAGAGUCCGGAAGAGGAGAGUGGAAUUCCUGGUGUAGCGGUGAAAUGCGCAGAUAUCAGGAAGAACACCCGUGGCUAAGGCGGCUCUCUAGUACGGUACUGACGCUGAGACGCGAAAGCGUGGGGAGCAAACAGG